AGCUAUGUUGGGACUGGAUAAACGCUGAAAGCAUCUAAGCGUGAAGCCAACCUCAAGAUGAGAUUUCCCAUAGCGUAAGCUAGUAAGACUCCUGGAAGAACACCAGGUUGAUAGGUCAGAGAUGUAAGCAUGGCAACAUGUUAAGUUGACUGAUACUAAUAAGUCGAGGGCUUGACCAAAUAA
rnacentral:rRNA from 1 species